rnacentral:rRNA from 1 species
GACAGAGGGUGCGAACGUUGCUCGGAAUUACUGGGCGUAAAGCGCGUGUAGGCGGGGGAUCAAGUCAGGUGUGAAAUCCCUGGGCUCAACCCAGGAACUGCACUUGAAACUGGUUGCCUUGAGUGUUGGAGAGGGAAGCGGAAUUCCUGGUGUAGAGGUGAAAUUCGUAGAUAUCAGGAGGAACACCGGUGGCGAAGGCGGCUUCCUGGACAAUUACUGACGCUGAGACGCGAAAGCGUGGGGAGCAAACAGG